UUAAGCGACUAAGCGUACACGGUGGAUGCCCUGGCAGUCAGAGGCGAUGAAGGACGUGCUAAUCUGCGAUAAGCGUCGGUAAGGUGAUAUGAACCGUUAUAACCGGCGAUUUCCGAAUGGGGAAACCCAGUGUGAUUCGUCACACUAUCAUUAACUGAAUCCAUAGGUUAAUGAGGCGAACCGGGGGAACUGAAACAUCUAAGUACCCCGAGGAAAAGAAAUCAACCGAGAUUCCCCCAGUAGCGGCGAGCGAACGGGGAGCAGCCCAGAGCCUGAAUCAGUGUGUGUGUUAGUGGAAGCGUCUGGAAAGGCGUGCGAUACAGGGUGACAGCCCCGUACACAAAAAUGCACAUACUGUGAGCUCGAUGAGUAGGGCGGGACACGUGGUAUCCUGUCUGAAUAUGGGGGGACCAUCCUCCAAGGCUAAAUACUCCUGACUGACCGAUAGUGAACCAGUACCGUGAGGGAAAGGCGAAAAGAACCCCGGCGAGGGGAGUGAAAAAGAACCUGAAACCGUGUACGUACAAGCAGUGGGAGCACGCUUAGGCGUGUGACUGCGUACCUUUUGUAUAAUGGGUCAGCGACUUAUAUUCUGUAGCAAGGUUAACCGAAUAGGGGAGCCGAAGGGAAACCGAGUCUUAACUGGGCGUUAAGUUGCAGGGUAUAGACCCGAAACCCGGUGAUCUAGCCAUGGGCAGGUUGAAGGUUGGGUAACACUAACUGGAGGACCGAACCGACUAAUGUUGAAAAAUUAGCGGAUGACUUGUGGCUGGGGGUGAAAGGCCAAUCAAACCGGGAGAUAGCUGGUUCUCCCCGAAAGCUAUUUAGGUAGCGCCUCGUGAAUUCAUCUCCGGGGGUAGAGCACUGUUUCGGCAAGGGGGUCAUCCCGACUUACCAACCCGAUGCAAACUGCGAAUACCGGAGAAUGUUAUCACGGGAGACACACGGCGGGUGCUAACGUCCGUCGUGAAGAGGGAAACAACCCAGACCGCCAGCUAAGGUCCCAAAGUCAUGGUUAAGUGGGAAACGAUGUGGGAAGGCCCAGACAGCCAGGAUGUUGGCUUAGAAGCAGCCAUCAUUUAAAGAAAGCGUAAUAGCUCACUGGUCGAGUCGGCCUGCGCGGAAGAUGUAACGGGGCUAAACCAUGCACCGAAGCUGCGGCAGCGACGCUUAUGCGUUGUUGGGUAGGGGAGCGUUCUGUAAGCCUGUGAAGGUGUACUGUGAGGUAUGCUGGAGGUAUCAGAAGUGCGAAUGCUGACAUAAGUAACGAUAAAGCGGGUGAAAAGCCCGCUCGCCGGAAGACCAAGGGUUCCUGUCCAACGUUAAUCGGGGCAGGGUGAGUCGACCCCUAAGGCGAGGCCGAAAGGCGUAGUCGAUGGGAAACAGGUUAAUAUUCCUGUACUUGGUGUUACUGCGAAGGGGGGACGGAGAAGGCUAUGUUGACCGGGCGACGGUUGUCCCGGUUUAAGCGUGUAGGCUGGUUUUCCAGGCAAAUCCGGAAAAUCAAGGCCGAGGCGUGAUGACGAGGCACUACGGUGCUGAAGCAACAAAUGCCCUGCUUCCAGGAAAAGCCUCUAAGCAUCAGGUAACAUCAAAUCGUACCCCAAACCGACACAGGUGGUCAGGUAGAGAAUACCAAGGCGCUUGAGAGAACUCGGGUGAAGGAACUAGGCAAAAUGGUGCCGUAACUUCGGGAGAAGGCACGCUGAUACGUAGGUGAAGCGACUUGCUCGUGGAGCUGAAAUCAGUCGAAGAUACCAGCUGGCUGCAACUGUUUAUUAAAAACACAGCACUGUGCAAACACGAAAGUGGACGUAUACAGUGUGACGCCUGCCCGGUGCCGGAAGGUUAAUUGAUGGGGUUAGCGCAAGCGAAGCUCUUGAUCGAAGCCCCGGUAAACGGCGGCCGUAACUAUAACGGUCCUAAGGUAGCGAAAUUCCUUGUCGGGUAAGUUCCGACCUGCACGAAUGGCGUAAUGAUGGCCAGGCUGUCUCCACCCGAGACUCAGUGAAAUUGAACUCGCUGUGAAGAUGCAGUGUACCCGCGGCAAGACGGAAAGACCCCGUGAACCUUUACUAUAGCUUGACACUGAACAUUGAGCCUUGAUGUGUAGGAUAGGUGGGAGGCUUUGAAGUGUGGACGCCAGUCUGCAUGGAGCCGACCUUGAAAUACCACCCUUUAAUGUUUGAUGUUCUAACGUGGACCCGUGAUCCGGGUUGCGGACAGUGUCUGGUGGGUAGUUUGACUGGGGCGGUCUCCUCCUAAAGAGUAACGGAGGAGCACGAAGGUUGGCUAAUCCUGGUCGGACAUCAGGAGGUUAGUGCAAUGGCAUAAGCCAGCUUGACUGCGAGCGUGACGGCGCGAGCAGGUGCGAAAGCAGGUCAUAGUGAUCCGGUGGUUCUGAAUGGAAGGGCCAUCGCUCAACGGAUAAAAGGUACUCCGGGGAUAACAGGCUGAUACCGCCCAAGAGUUCAUAUCGACGGCGGUGUUUGGCACCUCGAUGUCGGCUCAUCACAUCCUGGGGCUGAAGUAGGUCCCAAGGGUAUGGCUGUUCGCCAUUUAAAGUGGUACGCGAGCUGGGUUUAGAACGUCGUGAGACAGUUCGGUCCCUAUCUGCCGUGGGCGCUGGAGAACUGAGGGGGGCUGCUCCUAGUACGAGAGGACCGGAGUGGACGCAUCACUGGUGUUCGGGUUGUCAUGCCAAUGGCACUGCCCGGUAGCUAAAUGCGGAAGAGAUAAGUGCUGAAAGCAUCUAAGCACGAAACUUGCCCCGAGAUGAGUUCUCCCUGACCCUUUAAGGGUCCUGAAGGAACGUUGAAGACGACGACGUUGAUAGGCCGGGUGUGUAAGCGCAGCGAUGCGUUGAGCUAACCGGUACUAAUGAACCGUGAGGCUUAACCUU
rnacentral:rRNA from 1 species